CACAGCUACAGUGACUUGGAACAAACACAGCUGAGACUAACCCUGGGAGCUGAGACUUUGCUUUUCCCUGUACACUCUGAGAAGCUACCAUCUGAUCAGAAGAGAUAUCACUGUUGCAGUGAAUAAAGUCAGCAUCUAAUCUUCCUGUUUUCACAGCAGCACCAUAUGGCAGUGACAGCACCUUCUGCAAGAAGAGAAACUCUAAACCAAUUACAACAAUAUCAUUUCUGUGUUGAACCAUAAGUCAUUGGAAACCCACUGCAACCAUGCUUCCAUAAUAGCAGCUGGAAUCUCCAAUUCUACAGAGAAAAGGAAUGUUGAAGUAACAUACAUGUAGCUUUGAGGAGGAGGCACGUGCAUUCAAGCUCAUGGAGAGGAUUGACAGCCACAGACAGGCACUCAUAAGAACUGAAUGUAAAUCAUCAAAGAGAAUAUACUCAGGAGGCACUGUCUACCAUAGGUUAUAACUCAGAGCUCUCUCCUUUCUCUGUGGGAGCAAUUGCUGGACCUCAGGAUUGGACCCCCACAGCAAAAUGGAGAUGUGCUAAUUCCUGGGUGGCAGGAAAAUAUGGUAGUUCAUGGGAAACCUGUUGCUGGAGUGGUCAGUAUUUGAGCAAGAAGUUAAGUCCUCCUCCCAGAAUAUCAUCCAUCUCAGUUUCUGAUUUUUUUUUUUUUUUUUUUUUUUAGAGGGAGUUUCACUAUUAUUGCCCAGGCUGGAGUAACAAUGGUGCAAUCUCUGCAACCUUUGCCUCCUGGGUUCAAGUGAUUCUCCUGACUCAGCCUCUUGAGUCGCUGGGAUUACAGGUGCCCUCCACUACGCCUGGCUAAUUUUUGUAUUUUUAAGUAGAGACAGGGUUUCACCAUGUUGGCCAGGCUGAUCUCGAACUCCUGACCUCAGGUGAUCCACCUCCUUGGCCUCCCAAAGUGCUGGGAUUACAGGCGUGAGACACCAUGCCUGGUGGUGCAGUUUCUGCUCUUUUUGCAGCUGUCAAGAAUAACCAGCAUCAACCCUGGGAUAUGAACAAGUAACUCUGAAGAUGCUGAAGCUUAAAGGGCUAAGAGAGUUGGAGCCUGAAGAAAAGAAGGUUUCUUUUCAUUGGAACACAUAAGUGCUCAGUGUUUCAUUUGGAAUAUCAUAUGAUACUGUUUCCCAACUUUAUGAAAACUAGAUGUUUUGGCUGUAUUUCUAAACUUUAUAACUGUUAUAUAAAAUGUGUAUCUAUUUUACCUAUGGGGAAACUUAGAUUAAGCAAGGUGAAAUGAUUUACCCUUUGCUGGUAAGUAGUAAAGCCAGACUUGAAAUCAGCAGCUACAAAGCCAGGCUUUUGCUACCAUACUGUCUGUUAUUUACCUGUUUUUUCUCUUCAUACAUAUGUUUGGUGUGUUAGAAUAAGACAUUGAAAAAACAAAAAACCAAAAAAGAAAAUGAGAAUUUUCACACCUGCAACUUGAGAUCCAAAUCCCUGGCCCAGAAAACAUUUUCAUAUUAAGCUAAUUCUGUAUUCUCUUAUGUCAUUUUUCUGUGAAAUACAACUGUAAUCAGUAAAAUUUAGAAAUUAAAUACUCCUUUCCAGGAAAUGCUGGAAGAUAAUAUUUACAGAAAGUGGGAAACAACAAGAUUAUAUUAUAUCAUAUUACAUUAUAGAUAGAUGGCUGAAAUGCCAAUUUGUUACUUUAAAAAUAUCCUUAAAUGGCAAUUUUUUACAAUGCAGCAUUACAACUCUUGGGGUCAUUGGUAAGAAUAAAGAGUUCUUAGGAGAACAUCAUGCAAUGAUAUGGUUGGUAACAGAGACGUGUUAUAGAGGGAAUGAAAAUGUUCUAAGAAAAUUGACAGCAAUAUUUUACAUUUGUACAACACAAU
rnacentral:lncRNA from 1 species